rnacentral:rRNA from 1 species
UACAGAGGUCCCAAGCGUUGUUCGGAUUCACUGGGCGUAAAGGGUGCGUAGGUGGCCAGGUAAGUUCGGUGUGAAAGCUCGGAGCUUAACUCCGAAAUGGCAUUGAAUACUAUCUGGCUAGAGGGUCGGAGGGGAGACUGGAAUUCUCGGUGUAGCAGUGAAAUGCGUAGAUAUCGAGAGGAACACCAGUGGCGAAGGCGAGUCUCUGGACGACUCCUGACACUGAGGCACGAAAGUCAGGGGAGCAAACAGG